rnacentral:rRNA from 1 species
AACGAACGCUGGCGGCAUGCCUAACACAUGCAAGUCGAACGAGACCUUCGGGUCUAGUGGCGCACGGGUGCGUAACGCGUGGGAAUCUGCCCCUCGGUUCAGAACAACAGUUAGAAAUGACUGCUAAUACCGGAUAAUGACGAAAGUCCAAAGAUUUAUCGCCGAGGGAUGAGCCCGCGUAGGAUUAGCUUGUUGGUGGGGUAAUGGCCCACCAAGGCGACGAUCCUUAGCUGGUCUGAGAGGAUGAUCAGCCACACUGGGACUGGGACACGGCCCAGACUCCUACGGGAGGCAGCAGUGGGGAAUAUUGGGACAAUGGGCGAAAGCCUGAUCCAGCAAUGCCGCGUGAGUGAUGAAGGCCUUAGGGUUGUAAAGCUCUUUUACCAGGGAUGAUAAUGACAGUACCUGGAGAAUAAGCUCCGGCUAACUCCGUGCCAGCAGCCGCGGUAAU